GCCAGAGAGAAUGAGCUUUAUGCUGCCCACUGACCUGCUUUCUCCCUCACUUAGUGGCCACUGUGUCUGACUGUGAAGUGGUGUGUAAGGACACUGGCUUUGCCUCUGUUGUGUCCUUAGAAAGUGGAGGAUAACUGCAGUAUCUGUUCAGGUGGAUGUGAUUUUAGUCUCCAUGGCUGGAGAGAGUGAAAGGAUUAGGAGCUCUGUAUGAAGACCUCGUCUCUUCCAUGGAGGUGUACACGGGUGGAGUGGUCUGAUAUUAAAUCCACCUGCAGAAGUUAGACUGCAUAAGAAUACAUUAGGGUUCUUUAUCACCGAAUCUACAAAGGAUGUCAAAAGAGCCGCCUUUUACUGUGCCGCCUGUCACAGUGAUGUGUACACUCGUGAGCUCAUUGGAAAAUGUAGCUGCAAAAGCAAGAAUCAUCAACAUAUCACAGCUUUGGAAAUUCACAACUCUUUUGAGACAUAUCCCAUGUCAGAUCAAGUGUCUCCAAAAGUUAGAAUGAAUAAUAAAGGAAGCCUUGAAGGGCAAAUAAAGUAAAAGGAGGAAAUAGAUCUGAGAAGAAUGAAUUGCAGUCUGAGCGGUGUCUGCACACAGAGAAAGGGUCUUGUAUCGGGACCCCUUCAUAGAGUCCUGCCGUGGCUGUAGACCCUGCCUGGAGCGGGAAGGCUUCCUGGAUGCUGCGCUUGUGGAUGAGAUGGAAGGCGGGUUGGGUUAGAGAGGCAUCCCAGCACCUCGACAGGUACUUCUUUCAAGCACACCCCAAAUGACUACCAGAAUCCCCAGUCAUCUGCCAUCCGCUCUCUCACUCUGUAGAAGAAAAUGCAACACUGAUUAAAAAGAAGAGCAGCCAGAAGGAAUUCUCGUCUGCCACACCGAGGGGUUCUUUUCCAAGGGAGCAGUCAAAAAUGGGGGGCAGCUUGAGCAUCGCCCCCAGGACUUUUCUGUAUGAAACGGAAGACAAUUCUGACCAGCUUGACAGCAGUGGCGUGUGUCACUGGUGCAAAGCAACCCCUUUGGACAGGCUGAUUCUGCCACCACAAAGUUCCCCGCACUUCUGCCUUACUUAGUCCAAAGAGAGUAAGAAAAGAAAAUGAUCAGAGGUCUUCAGAUCCACCUCGUGUUAGGAAUCACCAUCAUUUCAGGCCUAAGCUACCUGAAAGCAGACCAGACAUGCCCCCGUUUCUUCACCAGGGGAAAGAAGCAGCCACCGCUUUGCCAGCUGAUCGGAAGAGUACCAUCAGGGGGUCUACACUCUUUCCUGAGGACCUCCAUGCAGUCAGCCUAGAGGAGUGUUCCAUGUAUGCUGUCUUAUCCUCGCCGUCCAUGUCACCAAGCAGCCAGACUUUGGUGGACACAGAGGCCAUCAUGGCCACCCUCAACGUCGGAUCACUGCGGAUCGGCUACUCUGCCCAGAAAGAGCCAGGUGAGACCACCCCCCUGACAGGAAGGGGUCAUGGGGAAUGGCAUAGGAGAGAGAGUGAACUCCUCUCUGAAGAACUUCAGUCACUGGGAGUAGGAGAGGUUGGGCCGGGGCCAGUUGGCCUCUAAGGUCCCUUCCAACUCUCAAGAAUUUCAUAAUAGAAGUUUCAGACGGCUCAGUCCUGGGGAAUCCUAAGUCAAAUGAAAAACGAUACCCGUUUUCUAAAUGGAAUGCCUGUAACACUGUUUUCCUAUUUUAAGGAAAAUCGUGAAA